GACGAACCGUCCAAACGUUAUUCGGAAUCACUGGGCUUAAAGGGUGCGUAGGCGGCGCGGAAAGUUGGGUGUGAAAUCCCUCGGCUCAACCGAGGAAUUGCGCCCAAAACUUCCGUGCUCGAGGAAGAUAGAGGUGAGCGGAACUUAGGGUGGAGCGGUGAAAUGCGUUGAUAUCCUAAGGAACACCGGUGGCGAAAGCGGCUCACUGGAUCUUUUCUGACGCUGAGGCACGAAAGCUAGGGUAGCGAACGGG
rnacentral:rRNA from 2 species